rnacentral:rRNA from 1 species
UCCGGUUGAUCCCGCCGGAUCCCACUGCUAUCGGGAUAGGACUAAGACAUGUUAGUCGUGUGCCUCAGCCAAAACGAGGCACGGCGCACAGCUCAGUAACACGUGGCUAACCUGCCCUUAGGACGAGAAUAACCCCGGGAAACUGGGGCUAAUGCUCGAUAGGUGAAGAACUCUGGAAUGAGUCUUCACUUAAAAGAGUCUGCGUUAUGCUCGUAGAUUUCGCCCAAAGAUGGGGCCGCGACCGAUCAGGUUGUUGGCGAGGUAAUGGCUCACCAAGCCUUUUACCGGUGCGGGCCGUGAGAGCGGGAGCCCGGAGAUGGGCACUGAGACAAGGGCCCAGGCCCUACGGGGCGCAGCAGUCGCGAAAACUUUGCAAUACACGAAAGUGUGACAGGGCUAUCCCGAGUGCCAUCCGCUGAGGAAGGCUUUUACCCAGUCUAGAAAGCUGGGGGAAUAAGGAGAGGGCAAGUCUGGUGUCAGCCGCCGCGGUAAUACCAGCUCUCCGAGUGGUGUGGAUGUUUAUUGGGCCUAAAGCAUCCGUAGCUGGCUAAGUUAGUCCCCUGUUAAAUCCAACGAAUUAAUCGUUGGAUCGCGGGGGAUACUGCUUGGCUAGGGGACGAGAGAGGCAGACGGUAUUUCCGGGGUAGGGGUGAAAUCCUAUAAUCCCGGGAAGACCACCAGUGGCGAAGGCUGUCUGCUAGAACGCGCCCGACGGUGAGGGAUGAAAGCUGGGGGAGCGAACCGGAUUAGAUACCCGGGUAGUCCCAGCUGUAAACGAUGCAGGCUAGGUGUUUGGACGGCCACGUGCCGUUCUAGUGCCGCAGGGAAGCUGUUAAGCCUGCCGCCUGGGGAGUACGAUCGCAAGAUUGAAACUUAAAGGAAUUGGCGGGGGAGCACCACAAGGGGUGAAGCUUGCGGUUUAAUUGGAGUCAACGCCGGA